ACUACAUUACCCAGGAUAACUUGUGUUAAGGCAACAACGUUGAUCCAAUGAAAAUCCAGAAAGGGUGCAUUUCCGGGAGAGGGCCGUCUUCCUGGCGGACAUUUUGAUUGCUGUGGAGUCUGAGGAGCUCGUCAGAAAGUCGAGUCUAUAAACUCCCAGGGUCAUCGCAGCAUGUGUAACAGCAGCGUCUCCUGCAGUGCCAUACCUUACUGAGGAUUCUCAAAAAAGUGAUUCUGAGAGUUGUGACCCCUAUACCAUGAGGAAGAGCUUUGAUUACACCCUGAAAACCUGGUACUGUGUCUUGGAAUCUAACAGGAUAAAAAAGAGCAAACUAUAGGGCACUUCACUAAUCUCCAAAUACCAGGGUUCCUGCCCAUGCAGCAUCAGCUGAAGAGCCCAAGGAGGCACAGAAAUUGAGGAAAACUACAUUCUUUGCUCUGCCACUGACCCUGGUCAUAAGAAUGAGGCAGCCCCAGAGAGCAUGACAAUCUCCAUACAUGAUCUCAUCCAGCGAUAGUGACUUGAAUGUUUAUGGAUGUGUUUUUAGCAUGGACACACCCAUUCUCGUUUGCAGCAGUCUCUCCGAUCUCAAUUAUUCACACCCAGUGUUUCUGCAUCAAUUUUGUUUCCUUCCUGGACACAGUAAGUCUUACAGCCAUUGACUCCUGUACCAGAUUCUGGCCUUCAGGGCAUAUGGCAUUUGGCAGCUCCUAAGGAACAGCUGCCCCUCAACAGUGCCAGGGAAUGUGGCAUAUAUGGUGAAAACAAGACACUGAAGCCAUGCUGCUCCCAAACAUGUUGUAGGUUGUUACAAUACCACCCUUCUCAAGGUGAUGUCUGGACCCUCGAAUAACUGAAAUCUAGACAAAAUCAGGCCCACAAAGCCCUGAAUUCUCACCCAAGCUUUUGUCAGCAAUGGAAAUUAACACCAAGAUUGGACUGAGAACUGUUCUCUGUCAACCUGU